AUUUAUUCGUUUCAUUUCCCUGAGUAAAUCGAAUAAUUUAUCGAUCAUUCUCUCUCUCCCAAUCUGCUUCACUCGCCAAACCUCUUUUCUUCGCCGGAACCCUAGGUCCGCUCCAUCAGCUUGAAUUUUCCGUAGAUGAACGUGCGAUUAGGGAACAUCUGAGGUCGGUUUUCGUCGCCGAAUGGAGGGAGGAAUAGCCCCAUGGAUUAUGAUGACAGUGACUUUCAAAACCACAAUCUCCAUUUAGCUGGUGAAGCUAACACUAAGUUUCCUCCGGUGUCUCUUCCAAGGUUUGAUUUUGACGAGAGGUUUGAUAGUUUAGUCGAAACUGAGGGUUUUCUUGGUAUUGAGGGUAACGAAGAUAGUAACUGGAUUGAGGAUUUCUCUCGUGGAAGUAGUGGUGUAGUGUUUAGCUCAGCUGCAACAGAGUCUUGUGCCAUUUCUAGGCAUACUAAUGUUUGGUCUGAGGCUACUUCGUCAGAAUCCGUUGAAAUGCUUUUGAAUUCAGUUGGACAGGAGGACCAAGUCAUUGUAAGAGAGAAAGAUAAUUCUAUCAAGACUUCGGAUGAGCUAGGCUGCACAAUGGAUCAAUUGGAGCCUGGUCAGACAAACCUUGAGACUAUUCUUUCCAAAGAGGAAACUCCCAUCAACCCUUCUGUGGAUGAUACUCCAGGAGACUCCUCCUCUGUGUGCAAGACAGAUGCUGGACAGGAACAGGUCCCGCUGAAAGAUGACUCACCAACUCUUGUGCAGGAGGAGUCGGAAGAUAAUGCCAUUUUGGCUUCAAAUACAGCGGCUGUGCCUGUAGAGGUUGUGGAUACUGCUUGUCAUGAUAAGAUAGGGACUGAGACAACGGAUAGUCUUCUUGACCAAACCGUUGCGGAAAAUAAUGCAGUUUUAGCUCAUGUGAGUUCUGCUGGUCUUGAUUCGAUAGGAACUGAGACGACUGACAGUGUUCAUAACCAAACCGUUACGGAAGAGGCAUCCAUGGAGGAAAACAGUGUCGUUUUACCUUCAGAUACCGGGACUGUAGAGGCUGUGGAUACUGGUGGUCAUGGUAAGAUAAGAACUGAGACUACUUAUAGUCUUCUUGACCAAACACAAGACGAAGCCAACACAGAAUCAAGGAUGGAAAUUGAUUGUAGCCACGGAACUGUACAGACUGGGGUUUCUGCUAGUGGUGAGUUGAAUAAUCAGACCACUUUGCUUCCAGAGGUUUUCAAUGAUGAAAAUGAUAUCAGCGACCACACUGCUAAGUCUGAUUUGAAGGAUAUGGAGCUAUCUGAUGUCACGGUACUAGAAAGAGGGGACCAAGCUCUCUCUGCUCUUGAGGUAGCUGAACCAGACGUUUCAGGGACCCAAUGCCAAGAUCUUCCUGUCAGCAGUGCGAAUACCAGCGCAACUGUUGAAGCAUCUUUGGAACUCACUGGGGUAUUACCAAAUAUAACAAGCAGUGAACAUGAAUCUACUUUUCAGACUGAGACACAUACAGAGAUACUUCGAGUUGAGACUUCAGAAAGUGUUAAUGUUUCACAAAUGGACUCAAUGGUUGAAUGCACAGAUGGUGAUGUGUCUAAUAAGGGUGACAAUAAGGAAGGUAGUGCUCGCAUAUCUUAUCUCAAACAAAGCAUGGAAUUAGCUGUCAAUGCCAAUGAUAGAGAUCAGGAUGCCAAGAGCUCUCAAGUCUUAUCUGAAAGCUUUGUAUCCGAGUCUGUUCGUUAUGUUUCAAGAGACUCUGCAUCCAAGCUGUUGGAGUCAAAUUCUCAGUCUGACACCAUUCCAAAAGAAAAUCCAGGGACUAUGAUUGACAUUAAAGAAUGUAAAGCCUUUCCUCUCAAACCUGAAGAAUCGCAACAUCUAAGCCAAGAUGGAGCUUCUGCUGUCAGUCUUACAUCUUCAGUAGAUUUACAUAUGGUGACUACAUCAUCUGAGGCUAAUGAGCAAGUCAAUUUCUCUGUAACCGAGAAGGUUUUAUCUGGCGAACCUGAAAAUUGCCAAACUGUUUCACCUGUGGAAGCAAGUAAUUCCGGGAUUCAUAUUGCACAACAACCUAGCAAGCAUACUGAAGAUACUCAGCAAAGUACACAAUUUUCGAUGGUUGUCCUACCUCUGAAGGGGCAAAGGAUGCAGUAGAUGCUGAUGCCGCUGGACAAGUUUUGCCUCAGCAGUGCGAGGAAACAAUUUUAGAAAAAAAUCUAACAGAAGUUGUAGACGUCCCUGAGACUCGGUCAAUUCUGGACAAGGAUGCCUUAAAUGAAAACCCUAAAGCUAGCUCCUUGGCUAAUCUUCGGAGUGAAGCUGUGGCAGAUUGCCAGGAAGAGGAUAAGACUGCUGCAUCCGGUAGGAUUAUGACAUCUGCGACUUCUGUUUCAUACCCCGCUGAUCCGGAUGCCAAGAGCUCUCAAGUCUUAUCUGAAAGCGUUGUGUCUGAGUCUGUUGGUUAUGUUAUAAGAGACUCCGCAUCCAAGCUGGUGGAGUCAAAUUCUCAGUCUGACACCAUUCCAAUAGACAAAUCAGGGACAAUGAUUGACGGUAAAGAAUGUGAAGCAUUUCCUCUCAAACCUGAAGAAUCGCAACAUCUAAGCCAAGAUGGAGCACCUGCUGUCAGUCUUACAUCUUCAGUAGAUUUACAUAUGGUGACCACAUCAUCUGAGGCUAAUGAGCAAGUCAAUUUCUCUGUAACCGGGAAGGUUUCAUCUGCCGAACCUGAAAAUUGUCAAACUGUUCCACCCGUGGAAGCAAGUAAUUCAGGGGGUCCUAUUGUACAACAACCUAGGAAGCAGACUGAAGAUACUCACCAAAGUACACAAUUUGUCGAAGGCUGUCCUGCCUCUGAAGGGCCAAAGGAUGCAGUAGAUGCUGAUGCCGCUGGACAAGUUUUGCCUCAGCAGUGUGAGGAAAGAAUUUUAGAAGAAAAUCUAGCAGAAGUUGUAAACGUCCCUGAGUUUCAGUCAGUUCUGGACAACGAUGCCAUAAAUGAAAACCCUAGCGCUAGCCCCUUGGCUAUGACUGCUGCCGGUGGGAUUAUGACAGCUGCGACUCCUGUUUCACACCCCACAGGUGAGUGUUAUUAUUCUCUUAACCUAUUGAAUGAGAAAGGCACUUGGAGAGCAUGGCGUGGCGUGCUUGUGCUGUAAGGGCUCAGAGAAUGCGUGUUUCUAGUCCUGAAACGCCAUUGCAAUCACGUGCAGGGAAGACAGAGACCCCGUCAAUGAGUCACACCAGUAGCAAAGCGAGUUCAGCGACGAAACCCAUAAUUCCACUCUCAUCACCUUUAUGGAGUUUGUCAACUCCCCUCGAAACUUUACAAUCAAGAAGCAUUCAGAGAGGUUCAGCUGCUGCACCACUGCCUUCUUCAUCACAUGCUCAUCAAGCUGCAUCGGUUACGAAUAUUGGACAUAAUACGGCUUGGAUGUCCCCUCUCCCUUACCCCAACCCGUGGCUUGCUUCUCCGCAGACCAGUGGGUUCGAUGUUGGUUCUCGUUUCCCGUUUUCCCGAUCACCGAAUCUGUAAAAUUGACACCCACAAAAAGAAUCGUCCUUGCCUUACUCUGGCGGUAAGCAUGUUCUGAGUGGAACUUCUGGCAAUAUUUUCAAAGGGACACAAACACUUGAGCCAGCCAGUACAGUUGUAGCACCUGCUCAACACUCCACUGGGACGAAAUCAAGGAAACGGAAGAAAAUGCCAGUCUCUGUGGAGUCUGAUCCAAGCAUUUUGAAUUCGCUACAGCAGACAGAAGUAGUUGUCUCACCUCUUGUUUCUAUAUCAACACCUGUACCUAUUACAGCUGCUCCGGGUAGUCUGACUUCUAACGCAGGCACCCUGCCCAGUGUUGAUUCCAUCUCUGCAGUCCCUAUGAACCUGGUAUCUACGUUCCCUGGAAAGAAAAUGAAAUCAUCUUUGCAAUCCCCAAUUUUUGGUGGUAACCUUGUAUCUGAAGUUAAGCAGAGAUCUGUGUUACCGGCAGAUACCAUUGAUAAGGUUAAUGAGGCUAAGAUGCAUGCAGAGGAUGCUUCUGCUCUCGCUACUGCAGCCGUUAGUCACAGCGAAUACGUAUGGAAGCAGAUAGAGCAACAGAGGCAUGCUGGCCUCCAGCCAGAAACUCAAGGCAGAUUAGCUUCCGCUGCUGUUGCCAUAGCUGCUGCCGCUGCAGUGGCAAAGGCUGCAGCUGCCGCCGCCAAUGUCGCAGCUAAUGCGGCAUUUCAGGCAAAAUUAAUGGCUGAAGAAGCAUCUCUUCCUAGUGUUUCUUAUCAGGGUAAUGAACUCCACAAGUCAAAUGAUGUACUAACUCAAGGCCAGGGUACCCCUGCUUCUGUCUUGAAGGGUGAAGGUGCAGUGGUCAGCUCCAGUCCGUUCCUUAGUGCUGCCAGAGAGGCGGCUAAGAAGAGGGUCGAGGCUGCCACAGCGGCCACCAAACGAGCUGAAAAUGUGGAGUCCAUUGUUAAGGCAGCAGAACUAGCAUCAGAGGCGGUUUCACAAGCUGGAAUACUUGUUUCAAUGGGUCAUCCUCCGUCGCUCAAUAAGCUGGUGGAGGUGGGUCCAAGUAAUUAUUGGAGGCAGGCUCAAGAAUCUGAGAAAGUGCAGCCUUGUAAAGUGGGUGUAUUAGAAAAAGAAACUGAGACUACUAGUGAUAGAGGUUUUGCUAGUCCCAGCACUGCGCAUACUGAGUUGGAUGGCUCCGCGAGAACAGCUGAUGGUCUAGGUCUAGGUCUAGGUCUAGGUCUAGGUCUAGGUCUAGUUUCUGCCACUGGAAAGAAAACAAAUGGACAGAAAGGUCAUAUAAGUGCAGACGUGGCUAAACACACUGCUGGAGUUUUCGAGCCAGAAGUUGGGUCAAAAUCUUCGAUUGACACCCAGACUGAAAGUGAGCAGAUUAUGAGAAAAGCAAACGACGAGUGCAUCAAGGAAGGUUCUCAUGUAGAGGUUUUCAAGGAAGGACCUGAAUUAAGAACCGCAUGGUACUCUGCCAAUGUAUUGAGCUUAGAGGAUGGGAAAGCUUAUGUGCUGUUCAGUGACCUUUCUGUAGAACAAGGAACAGAUAAGCUGAAGGAGUGGGUAGCCCUCAAAGGUGAAGGUGAUGAGGCCCCGAAAAUAAGAACUGCUCGUUCUAUUACUGCCCUGCCAUAUGAAGGAACCAGGAAGAGGCGCAGAGCUGCCAUUGGGGAUCCUGUUUGGAAACUUGGAGAUAGGGUAGACUCGUGGGUUCAUGACAGUUGGUUGGAGGGUGUUAUCACGGAGAAGAACAAAAAUGAUGAAAAUACAGUGACUGUGCAUUUUCCAGCACAAGGAGAGACUUUGACUAUCAAAGCUUGGAAUCUUCGUCCUUCUCUUGUAUGGAAAGAUGGAAGGUGGAUUGAAUGUUCUACUUCAGGAGAAAGCAUCAGCUCGUCACAUGAGGGUGAUACUCCAAAGGAGAAGCGUCCUAGACUAGGAGCUCCAGCUCCUGUGGGUGAAGGAAAAGACACGAAAAUGGAAACUGCCGUUGAUCCGGAUUUAGGUAAACCGCCUCAGACUGGUGUUCUUGACCUCGGUGUUUCAGAGACUACAUUUAACAUCGGGAGAAAGGAGGGCAAUCCUGGUCCACUCCGAAUGAAGAGAACCGGUUUGCAAACGCAGGGAGCAAAAGUGAUCUAUGGUGUCCCUAAACCUGGAAAGACAAGGAAGUUCAUGGACGUGAGCAAACAUUACGUUUCAGAGGCGAGCAAUCAAACUCGGAAACAGAAGGAACCAGCUAAGGCUGUGAAACCAAUUGUGCCCCAAAAUCCAGGACCAGGGAGCUGGAGAUUGCCUUCUAAACCGAGAGAAAAACAGACAACAACAACAACGAAGCCCAAGACUUUCAAACCUGCGCCCAAGACCAAAGAGAAGCCGGUUGCUGCACCUAGGAUAAUUCCCCGCAAGGACUCUCGUAAUACAACAUCCUUAAAUAUGGAAUCUGAAGAUGCCGUUGGUCAGAGUGGAGAGAACAAAGGUCCUGCAUCAACUUCCAGGGAUCCAGCCAAGGGAACAGGGGAAGAGCAAAUCACAUCAUCUUCACAAGGCCAAGAUAGUUCCUCCUCGACCACUACUGGGAAAGGGAAAGUGGCUCCUACUGCAGGGAGGUUACCCAAGAUUGAAGAGGCCAAGGCGUUGGAUGAUAAUUCUUCAAAAGCAUCAGAUGGAAUGGAACCACGUAGGUCUGUCCGCAGGAUUCAGCCAACUUCUAGACUACUUGAAGGUCUGCAAACAUCCAUGAUGACCUCAAAGAUUCCUUCCAUGUCACACAGCAGAAGUCACCAAAGUCAAAGGAAACAGUAACUCUAGAGGCAAGUAGGUAAUGGAAGGAGCAAAAGCUAAGAAGAAGAAAGAGGCAGUCUCUGCUGCUGUUAGGUUGUCCUAAAUUUAAUAUCGAGCUCUGAGAAAAAUACUUUCGUUGUUGGCUAGGGGAGAGAUGAUAUGUUAUUGUAGGUGUGAUUAUGAUUUUUAAGUUAGAUUAUAUCUCAGUCUGUGUGACUCAGAGAGGUAAGACAACUGUUGUUUGAAUAAAACAACUGUUUUAUUA